AGUCGAGAAUCUUCGGCAAUGGGGGCAACCCUGACCGAGCGACGCCGCGUGCGGGAUGAAGGCCUUCGGGUUGUAAACCGCUGUCAGAGGGGAGGAAAUGCUAGAGGGUUCUCUCUCUAGUUUGACCUAUCCUCAGAGGAAGGACGGGCUAAGUUCGUGCCAGCAGCCGCGGUAAGACGAACCGUCCAAACGUUAUUCGGAAUCACUGGGCUUAAAGGGUGCGUAGGCAGUCCGGGAAGUUGGGUGUGAAAGCCCUCAGCUCAACUGAGGAAUUGCGCCCAAAACUGCCGGGCUUGAGGGAGACAUAGGUGAGCGGAACCUAGGGUGGAGCGGUGAAAUGCGUUGAGAUCCUAGGGAACACCAGUAGCGAAAGCGGCUCACUGGGUCUUUUCUGACGCUGAGUGCACGAAAGCUAGGGGAGCGAAGAGGAUUAGAUACCCUCGUAGUCCUAGCCGUAAACAAUGAGCACUGAUUUGGAGGGUCCUCCAUAGCCUUCCAGAUGUAGCGAAAGUGUUAAGUGCUCCGCCCGGGGAGUAUGGUCGCAAGGCUGAAACUCAAAGGAAUUGAC
rnacentral:rRNA from 1 species